rnacentral:rRNA from 1 species
CGCUGGCGGCAUGCCUAACACAUGCAAGUCGAACGGUAACAGGUCUUCGGAUGCUGACGAGUGGCGCACGGGUGAGUAACGCGUGGAUAUCUGCCUAUGAGUGGGGGACAACUUUCGGAAACGAAAGCUAAUACCGCAUAAUCUCUACGGAGCAAAGCAGGGGACCUUUCGGGGCCUUGUGCUKAUAGAUGAGUCCGCGUCAGAUUAGCUAGUUGGUGGGGUAAGAGCCUACCAAGGCGAUGAUCUGUAGCUGGUUUGAGAGGAUGAUCAGUCACACUGGAACUGAGACACGGUCCAGACUCCUACGGGAGGCAGCAGUGGGGAAUUUUGCACAAUGGGCGCAAGCCUGAUGCAGCGAUGCCGCGUGUGGGAAGAAGGCCUUUGGGUUGUAAACCACUUUCAAUUGGGAAGAAGGGAUGAGUAUUAAUAAUACUCUGACUUGACGGUACCUUUAGAAGAAGCACCGGCUAAUUUCGUGCCAGCAGCCGCGGUAAUACGAAAGGUGCAAGCGUUGUUCGGAUUUACUGGGCGUAAAGAGAUCGUAGGUGGUUUGUUAAGUUAGAUGUGAAAUCCCGGGGCUCAACCUCGGAACUGCAUCUAAAACUGGCAGACUUGAGUUCGGGAGGGGUAAGCGGAAUUCCGUGUGUAGCAGUGAAAUGCGUAGAUAUACGGAGGAACACCUGAGGCGAAGGCGGCUUACUGGACCGAUACUGACACUGAGGAUCGAAAGCGUGGGUAGCAAACAGGAUUAGAUACCCUGGUAGUCCACGCCCUAAACGAUGUCAACUAGCCGUUGCGGGUAUCGACCCCUGCAGUGGCGCAGCUAACGCGAUAAGUUGACCGCCUGGGGAGUACGGUCGCAAGAU